UUAUAAGCAAAACUCCACUUUUUAGAUACAUUGAAUAAUUAAUGUAUGCAGUCUAUAAUAAAGACUAGAUACAUUAAUUAUUCAAUGUAUCUAAAAAGUGGAAUUUUGUUUAUAA
rfam:Medicago truncatula strain A17 chromosome 4, whole genome shotgun sequence.